GAAAACAGUUAAGCCGACGACGCUGACCUGGGAAAACGGGGAAAAAUUAACUUUUUGCGGCUUUCGGCCUGCACCGGGCCACGUCCGGCCGGGAAUCGUUCGUGUGGUCAAGGCCGCCCGCCCGUCCUUUUACCGGUGGCCAACCUACGUCAGCGGUGAGCCACUGGUCAUCUCGACGGCAGACACCAUCACGGUAAAUAAAUUGCCGCGUUGUGAAAUAGCUGAAGUUCUUCGCCUCCCGAGGCGGAACGAGUGUGUGAUAGGCAUCGGAAGAUUAUCUACGGCGGAGAGGCCGCCGGGUUUCCGUGAUUGGCCAUUAUAGAGAACGAGAACUUUGGGGACGCCGAAGAUAGUACGGCCCCGCAUCUGGGACAUGUCGGAAAAUACGACGAAACCGAUCCAGCUGGUUCUGCUGCAUUUGAUCCAGAAGGGUGCGACUGAGGAACCGCGACGGAACACUGCUGGCCACCGGAUCAUAUGACAGAGGCAAGCACCCUUGGCCAGCUCAAGGGACCGAUUUUUGCACCCAAGUGCAACAAAUGGGGCAACUACAUUCUGUUCACGGGUGUGGACAAAACGAACUUCUCUGCAACGCGGUCACCGGCCACGCAGUAGUUUAGCUCCCAUUCGGCGCCGGGUUUACCAGCUGCAGCACAGAUCAGUGCAUUCACAAGGACACGCCGAUCAAGUCGUUCCAGGGACACACGAUCGAAGUCAACGCCAUCUAGUAGGAUCGGCAUCAAAAUCGUGGUUGCGUGCAAACAUCCGGCGUGGGGGCAACUGAACGGCUGCAGCAGU